UGGUAGUAAUUUCAGGUUGGUUUUCGAUUACAGUUCAGACAACCUUUCUGUCUCUUCUGGUUUUAAUUAAUAUUUAUUAAAGAUUGUUUAUCAUUAAAUGAAAGAAAACC